rnacentral:rRNA from 1 species
UACAGAGGUCCCAAGCGUUGUUCGGAUUCAUUGGGCGUAAAGGGUGCGUAGGUGGCGGAGUAAGUUGGAUGUGAAAUAUCGGGGCUUAACCCCGAAACUGCAUUCAAUACUGCUUCGCUUGAGUGCUGAAGAGGAGACUGGAAUUUACGGUGUAGCAGUGAAAUGCGUAGAUAUCGUAAGGAAGACCAGUGGCGAAGGCGAGUCUCUGGACAGCAACUGACACUGAUGCACGAAGGCCAGGGGAGCAAACGGG